CAUAAAACAAUGAAUUUAAAAUGUUGGCUAAAAAAUCUCUUAUCAGUCAAAACCAUUUUUUUUUUUGGUUGCAGGUCCAGUGAAGCUCAGUAAUGGCUGAUGGAAAAAUGAACAAGAAAAAGCUCCCAGUCUCUAAUAAAACAGGACGAUAGAUUAGUAGCAACAGUCGGAAGAAGGAUCUGGACAAAUACUGUAGUACACAGACACCUUUGGAUUUAGGUGGUUCGAAGGAUGGUUGGAAAAAACAGAAGACAAAAAGAGAAAAAGAAAUCCUGAUCCACACUCCAGACUGAUAGGUGGCGGUAAUGGAUCACAGAGUUGUGUGCAAGCUACCAUAAAAUAAAAGAAAAAGACAAGGAAACCACCUGUAUGGACGAGACAGCAGGAACUCCCUCUACAGAAGAAGGAUCUGGACCAAAGGGACACAAUCAGAGAAGCACAAGUCCUUCAAUGUUUGCAGCAGCCUGUGAUUGCAGGUUUUGGCAUCUGCCGGAAGGACACUUUGGAGGACAGAAAACUCCACUCAGGAUCAUUUUAUUAACAGACAAAAAGGAAAGGUGGCUCCAAAAAUCUAAAGACAAAAGGCAGAAGACACUAACGCAGGUAUGUGAAACAACAGAGUUGAGGAAGUGUGCUGUGGUGCAAACUUCAGGUUCACGGGAGAGAGCGUAAAAAUAAAAGCACAUACUGGAUAUGCAGCAGCUGAUUAUUGUUUUAUGACCAUUUUUAAAAAUCAUUAUUUGUUUGUGAGAUACAACAAGUAACAUGCAAAGUUUGUCAGUUGGGGUUUUGAUUUGUUAGUUGUCCUUUCCUCUGAAACUAAUAAUGCUAGCUUAGCGCUAUACUGGCGCUUUCUAAGGUCGUCAUCACUUUCUACCAAUCAAUGGGUUUAUAAAGCGGCUCCACCCAAACCGUCCUGUUCCAUUUUUCUAUGGACUUACAACUGAUGAGGCCCUCAAAAGAUACAGGUUGCAUGGGUCAGUUUUACAACAGAAACUCUCAAAACACCAGACUGAACCGCACAGUGGAAACAAGGUUA